CCCUUAGAUGUUCUGGGCCGCACGCGCGCUACACUGAUGCAUUCAACGAGUCUAAAACCUGCUCUGAUAGGGGUGGGUAAUCUUUUGAAUGUGCAUCGUGAUUGGGAUAGAUGAUUGCAAUUUUUCAUCUUCAACGAGGAAUGCCUAGUAAACGCAAGUCAUCAGCUUGCAUUGAUUACGUCCCUGCCCUUUGUACACACCGCCCGUCGCUCCUACCGAUUGAAUGAUCCGAUGAAUAUCAUGGAUUGAGGAUUAUAGCAGGUUCGCCUGUCUUGAUCUUCGAGAAGUGAAGUAAAUCUUAUCAUUUAGAGGAAGGAGAAGUCGUGACA
rnacentral:rRNA from 1 species